GUAAGCGCGGCGUAGGGCGUCGUUUAGUGGUGAACGUGAGCCGGUUAAGCUUUGCCCCGGCCACGCACUGAUGAAGCUACCAAAUCCCGGAGCCUGACCGCCGGCGCCGGGUGGCGGGAAUGUAAAUGACGGUAUGCACCCGGAGAAAGUUGCGCGGAAAUAUUUUCGGACAGGGGUUCGACUCCCCUCGCCUCCACCA
rnacentral:tmRNA from 1 species